GUUGGCGGCGUGGAUUAGGCAUGCAANUCGUACGGGCCGCNAGGCCAGUGGCGCAAGGGUGAGUAAGGCGACGGUAACCAACCCCAUGAUUGGGUAUAGCCGCGGGAAACCGCGGGUAAUCCCCAGCGACGCAACGACACCGGCCUCGGUGUUUUGCCAAAGCUUCGGCGUCGUGGGACGGGCUGUCGUGGUAUUAGGUAGUUGGCGGGGUAACGGCCCACCAAGCCGACGAUGCCUACCGGGCGUGCGAGCGUGGCCCGGCACACUGGGACUGAGACACUGCCCAGACUCCUACGGGAGGCUGCAGUCGAGAAUCUUCGGCAAUGGGCGCAAGCCUGACCGAGCGACGCCGCGUGGAGGACGAAGGCCUUCGGGUUGUAAACUCCUGUCGAGGGGGAAGAAGGCUCCGCAAGUAGCUUGACUGAUCCCUGGAGGAAGCACGGGCUAAGUUCGUGCCAGCAGCCGCGGUAAGACGAACCGUGCGAACGUUAUUCGGAAUCACUGGGCUUAAAGCGCGUGUAGGCGGAUGAGCACGUCUGUCGCUGAAAUCCCCCGGCUCAACCGGGGAACGGGCGUGGAUACGGCUUGUCUGGAGGGGCGUAGGGGG
rnacentral:rRNA from 1 species